AACGCACAUUGCGCCCGCCGGUAUUCUGGCGGGCAUGCCUGUUCGAGCGUCAUUUCAACCCCUCAGGCCCCAGUUUCGGGGCCUGGCGUUGGGACACGGCCCCGCCCCGCGCGGUGGCCGGCCCCGAAAUCCAGUGGCGGACACGCCGCGGCUUCCUCUGCGUAGUAGCAAUCGCCUCGCAGCUGGGACGCGGCGCGCCCACGCCCCGACACAACAAAACAUCGUGGUUGACCUCGGAUCAGGUAGGAGUACCCGCUGAACUUAA
rnacentral:misc_RNA from 1 species